AUUGAACGCUGGCGGCAGGCCUAACACAUGCAAGUCGAGCGAGCGGCUGACGGGUGCGUAAUGUCUGUGAAACUGCCUGAUGGAGUGGGUUAACUCCUGGAAACGGUAUCUAAUACCCCAUACCAUCAGAUGUGCCCAGUUGGGAUUAGCUAGUAGGUUUGGUAACGGCUCACCUAGGCGACGAUCCCUAUCUGGUCUGAGAGGAUGACCAGCCACACUGGAACGGAGACACGGUCCAGACUCCUACGUGAGGCAGCAGUGGGGAAUAUUGCACAAUGGGCGCAAGCCUGAUGCAGCCAUGCCGCGUGUGUGAAGAAGGCCUUCGGGUUGUAAAGCACUUUCAGCGGGGAGGCGGUACCCGAAGAAGAAGCACCGGCUAACUCCGUGCCAGCAGCCGCGGUAAUUG
rnacentral:rRNA from 1 species